rnacentral:tRNA from 1 species
AAUAACGUGCUUGAUAAAAAGAUCGCCUUGAUAGGGCGGAGAAUGAGACUAAUCCUCUCCGUUAUUA